GCAGUUCCUCAGUAGCGCGGGUUGGGUGGACAGAGGCGGCGAGAGAGAGAGGCGGUUAGCACUCCCAUCCAGCUACGGGCAGAGCGCCCUGAAAAAUAGGAACUGAAAAAAAGAAAGAAAAUCAGCUAACAAGCUAACUAAAGAACUGUGCUUAUAA